CUACCACCUGUGUCACAUCCCAUUAGGUUCUGUGGAUGAGGCAUGGUGCUUGGCACAGACUGACACAAGUUUGGGCAAACUUGGCAGAGCAGCCUAACCCAAAGCGAAAAACAGAAAUGAACCAAGAUACAACCUCUGUGGAAAACCCUACUGAACAAAAGCAACUCUGUGGAGUGUCCUCUCAGCUGCAAAUUGAGACAGAAUUGUGGGGCAAGCUUGGCCACUGAUGCAGAUUCUGCAGCUUGCUACACAGAAAGCCAGAGACCGAGAGCCAAUGACUGAGACUAUGAGUAUUGCCAAGGAAGAAGGCUUUAAUCGGGUGCUGCAGCUGAAAAGAUGAGAGCUCAGCCUCAAAUCCAUCUCCCUGACCAACUAAAGCUAAGGAUUUAUAUAGCAGGGAAGAAGACAGGAACUAGGAAGGGGCAAGGAAGCGAUCCUGAUGAAUGAAGGGUCAGGCAUUUCAUUGUCUGGAUGUGGCGAUCUGGUCAACAACCUUAACCAAGAGUAAGGAAGCCACUUGCUCCAAGUCACAGUAGAAGGUUGAGCAUGUGACUAUUACCAAGAGGAAGUGGGGACACAAGUGACGCCAUGUUGGAGGCUAAUUUGCUGUUUUCACUUCUGAUUAGCCGUUGUCUCGGGAAUGCCUUCUGAUUAUUACUUAAUUUACUGUCCCUAAUGUAAGAACAUGUCAACCUCGAUGCUGUUGCACAAAUUAUAGGCUUUGAUGCAUGCAGCAUUCUUGCCUCUUCUGGAGGGUAGUCUUUCAUUGUCUUGCACAGGGCACACAUACCCUUUCCCUAUGCUAUAUAAGCCCUGGUUCUGGGGGUAACAGGUGCAGAGAUCUACCUGUAUUGCUGCCGCUAAAGACCAUGCUUCCAUCUGUAAGUUUCCCCAGUAAAACAUCCUUUAUCAACAAACUGGAGUUGUGUGGCUUGUUCUUUGGUUUCUUGGCUCUUUUGGCCUUUGGGGGCUACUUUGCAUAUAUGACCGUUUCAC
rnacentral:lncRNA from 10 species